GAUGAACGCUGGCGGUGUGCCUAAUACAUGCAAGUCGAGCGAACAGACGAGGAGCUUACUCCUCUGACGUUAGCGGCGAACGGGUGAGUAACACGUGAAUAACCUACCUAUAAGACUGGGAUAACUUCGGGAAACCGGAGCUAAUACCGGAUAACAUGUUGAACCGCAUGGUUCAACAGUGAAAGACGGUCUUGCUGUAACUUAUAGAUGGAUCCGCGUCGCAUUAGCUAGUUGGUAAGGUAACGGCUUACCAAGGCAACGAUGCGUAGCCGACCUGAGAGGGUGAUCGGCCACACUGGAACUGAGACACGGUCCAGACUCCUACGGGAGGCAGCAGUAGGGAAUCUUCCGCAAUGGGCGAAAGCCUGACGGAGCAACGCCGCGUGAGUGAAGAAGGUCUUCGGAUCGUAAAACUCUGUUAUUAGGGAAGAACAAAUGUGUAAGUAACUAUGCACGUCUUGACGGUACCUAAUCAGAAAGCCACGGCUAACUACGUG
rnacentral:rRNA from 1 species